AGUGAGCGCUGGCGGUAGGCCUAACACAUGCAAGUCGAACGGCAGCACAGUAAGAGCUUGCUCUUACGGGUGGCGAGUGGCGGACGGGUGAGGAAUACAUCGGAAUCUACUUUUUCGUGGGGGAUAACGUAGGGAAACUUACGCUAAUACCGCAUACGACCUAAGGGUGAAAGCAGGGGAUAUUGGGACCUUGCGCGAUUGAAUGAGCCGAUGUCGGAUUAGCUAGUUGGCGGGGGAAAGGCCCACCAAGGCGACGAUCCGUAGCUGGUCUGAGAGGAUGAUCAGCCACACUGGACCUGAGCCCCGCUCCAGCCUCCUACGGGAGGCAGCAGUGGGGAAUAUUGGACAAUGGGCGCAAGCCUGCUCCAGCCCUACCGCGUGGUUGAAGAAGGCCUUCGGGUUGUAAAGCCCUUUUGUUGGGAAAGAAAAGCAGCAGGUUAAUACCCCGCUGUUCUGACGGUACCCAAAGAAUAAGCACCGGCUAACUUCGUG
rnacentral:rRNA from 1 species